CGAACGGGAGAAAAACGCAGCCACGCUGUGCCUCGCGGCGCUCCUCCCCGCCCCACCACCUCCUGCGACGCCCCGCGCGCCGCCGGCCGCCUCCAACGGCCACCCACCCACACACCGGCGCAGACCCUGACGACCCACGCGCACCCGAGACCCGGCGCCCCCAUCCAUCUACCUCCUCACCGCGUCGCGCCGCUGCGCCCCCAAAGCGCCGCCCGGCGAUGGAUCCAAGCCGGCAACCGCCACAGCGCGCCUCCUGGCGGCGGAUCCGGGCCGGCAACUAUUCCCCUCCUCCCCCACGACUGGUUUCCUCUCCUCUGCGUCAAGAUCGACGGUGUUCAGCAUGUAGAAGCCGGACGACAUGAUGCUGCUGUUGCCGAUCUGCUGCAGCGUCUCUUGUUCGACUCCGAGAUCACCGGCAAUGAACACAAUCAGAUGAGGACGUGCGUGCGUGUGGCGUGUGUGCUGCUGCUCGCCAUCGCUGCCGUGCAUGUGCAUCGUGCCGACUAUGUGCCAUGUCAUCCACAGGGCUUCGUCCUUGGUAUCGGCGGUGGACGAGUGCGAGGCCAAAGUUUGAGCUUAGGGUGGAAACAUGUGUCGAGCAGGAUGUUCCUGCUCUUGGAAUACUUGUGCACGUAGUUGAGUCCGCCUGCCACGUCCAGCGCGACCUGGACAUGUUGGCUCCAUCCGAGCACCUCGUCGCUGUGGAGCCACUUGCUAAGCGCGCUGUUCUUGGCGAACUCGAACAUCAUGUACGUCAAUACAUGUAGCCGCCGUGCAUGCAGUGAUGGAGAGGCCCCGGACAGGCAGAUGAGGCUCAAGUGGUUGAGGCGACAAGGAUGCUCACCUCGACGGUAGCGCACACAUCAUUGACUCCUGUUCGCGAUCGUCGGUUGUAGUGCAUGGCAUGGCGAUGGUGGGGGAGAUGCGAAGGGAAGAUGAGAAGGGAAGAUGAUAGGGGGGAUUACUCGAUAAGUAUGCGGAGGUGCUGUAAAGUUUCCUCCUUUAUGUAUAGUUAUUUCAUUAUCCAUCUAAAUAUCAUCCCAUGUAUAUGUAUGAAACUCAUUUUGUGCUGCUAAAUUUUCUGUAUAGAUUUAGAAUUAUUUGGUGUUAAACUUAUAAUGAUCGAAACAAUGCUAAACUUACAUGUUGAUUCAUCAUUUGAAAAAACUGCAUGCACAAUUUGUUUGUUUCAGCACAAGAAGUUCAAACUUAAUAUACCUAUCGCAUCUGAUGGUGUAUGAUUAACUUGCUCUUUGUUGUUUCUAUUUGCCAAAAUUUAUUAUUCAUGGUUGGUUAUUGCCGUUUUAAUACAAUCAUCAUUUUCAAAUAUAUUUGGAUUAUAUUAGGAAACUGCAGCUAUGUGUUUCUGAGUUAGAGCUCCUAACAGACUGCUUUUGCUUCCUUACUUGCUUCCAUUUUAACUUUAGAUUGUUAUUAAGCUGGAACUCCGAGCCAUAGAGUCCAUAAGGAAGUGUUGAAAUACUUGCAGAUCAUGCAAGUUAAGAGUGGCUUUAAUACUUUUGAGUGGACAUAAAGUAAUUUUAAGAUCAGUAGUUGAUGUACUCUCUCUUAAGAAAAGACUGACAAUUGAUGACAACAAGCCGAAUGGUCCAGCACACAAUAAUGAUUUUUCUUCUUCUUCGUAAAAGAAUUAUUUUUUCUAAUUAUUACAUAGGAGGGCACCUCCAUUCUCUCUCUGGAUUUACUAACCACAUGCUGGUCAGACUAGCUGCACACAGAGGUGUUGCAAUCAAAAGCGUUCUGCUACCUAAUAAUAUUAAAGGUUGAUCUGAGUGAAAUACAAGCAAUUGAAGAUAAUUUGAAGAUCUUGAUCCUGCAGCAUCAGACUAUAUUCUGGUUUUUAUAACAUGCAACAGACUAUGUAUAGGAAAGUAUACUUUUUGUGAAUCAUUUUCUUCUCGCUUCUCUUACUACACUGGGCAUCAGCAGGAAAGCAGCAGGUGGGUGCAGCACCGGCCUUGGCCAAUUAUCUCAGCAAAAUCACAUGGUAAUCUUCUGUACAGAUUGAUUAAUAGUUAUGGUCACGUAUGGGUAGGAGUUCUUUGACUUGCAAUUAUCUCAGCAAAAUCACAUGGUAAUCUUCUGUAAAUUACAAGAUGUGCUCCUGUACAGAUUGAUUAUUUGCUUAAUCUUAAUUUCGUGAUGAAUCAUCGGAUAGUGCCAUAAGAUUCAAAGACUUUUUUUAGCCUUUUUCGAGCAAUUAAUCUGCACCUUUGUUCAUGGAUGGGAGGUGCUUUUGAUCUUCUAAUUACUUCCUCCAAGUUAGGUGUUUGUGCUGCUGGUCAAAGGUAUGUAUAUGACCGACUAAGAUUUGUUUUUCUUCAUAUGCAUUGUUAGAGUAAUAUCCAUGCGCUUUAUUUUUUCCUUCUGAAUUUCUUUCAUGCAUCAGUGUAUAUGUUUCUUGUGGUCUUCCACAACUUUUGUUCUUGCUAUUUUAGUUCUUGCUCUGGAUAAUUGAAGAAGUGAUUAAAAUUCUGUACAUGGAGUUUAUGUUGUCCUGAGAUUUUGUCCUAAUAUUAAAUUUUUUAAUCCAAAAUUUGUUUAGUUGGAUUGUUAUGAACAUGUGAAGAACCCAUUGUUAACUUUUGAUUUUAUUUACAUCUGUCAUUACUAAUUCUCAUCACUGAUGAUUGUUUGUAGUUAAGAUUUUCUUCUAAUCCAUAAGAAUUGAUGCUAAUAUGCACUGUUAUAUUAAAUCUGAAUUUCAUUGGUGAAGCACAGUUAAAGAAAAGUCAUGGAUAAAGCUUAGUGAUUUCCAGUAAAGAGUUUCUACUAAUCCAUCAGCUAAUGCUAAUCUAACCAUUAAAUCCAGUGAAGAUUUUUAUUCUAUGAGUCCUGCAGCUUUUCGUUGUUGUUGAAGCUAGCUGUGGGAUGCCCUUUCUGUUUCAUGUGAUUCGAUGCAUAGAUAGACAGAUUCUAUGUUCUCAGCAGACAUGUUACUUGGACCUUCGUAAGAUGGCGCAAGGGGAGCUAUGGGGAUAGAUUGACACCAAUAUCUGCAAGCAUGAAAUUAAAGUACAAAAACUAAUUCGUAGUGCCUUGGCUAUAAGAACGCCUCGACUCCCUCAGCCGAAACCCCUGUUCGAGUGCUUCCCAUGCUCGACAUUGCUGUCGCUGUUUUUUCGACUUCGCCAGAAUCUCGCCGUUCAACUUCGCCGGAAUUUUGUACGCCUGUUCUCCGCCCACGGAGGAUUUCAGUGCUGCUAAAGAGAGAAAAGGAUCAAUGCUAUGAGAUUGUUGCUGAGAGGCAUGUACAUGAAUCGGGCACAAUAUGCUUUCUCCUUGCCUUUUCCUUAUUGACUAAAUCUAAGCACAUGACUAUAUUCAGUUUUCUCAUGUAACCUGAGCAGCUGCUGGUUUAGAUUUAGCAUUCCUUUCAAUUCUUGAUUAGCAGCGUGCUGCGACACACAUGGCUCUGCCUCCGUGUCAUUCUACCUGUUUUCAUGCUCUCUACGUCUUCCAAGUCAUCAUUUUUUUAGUUCUUGAAGUAACAGGCAAAUGGUAAUAUAUACGGAUGGAAGUUGCAAAAAAAUCAUUAUCUUACUUGUCCAAGUAACAUGCAGAAUCAUUUCUCUUAUGGAAAUUAGCCUGUUGUAUUGACCUAACAAAGUCCACUUCAACCUACCUAAUAAUUAUGCAGUGAAGAUGGAGAGCGCCUCAAAUAUGAGAAUCUACUCAUCUUUUGUUUUCUGUUCUGUUGCCUCAUGUAUUUAUAGUAUGAAUAUGUUACACUCUGUUUCUUGAACUUGGUCAGUGUUAAGGUUUGGUAUUAGGAGGGUAAUUCUUCCCACCGUGCAGUUUUUUUAUUUCAUGAAGUGCAUGAUAAUUAAAGAAGAUACUUUAUUUUGAGCGUUUCUUUCCAGAUAAUAGACUGGCUAACCAGUUGUCUGGCAUUGUUGUAAAUGCAGUAAUGUUAGAUUUCUUUCAUAGUGGUUCACUUGCAAGCUUUAUUCCACAAAUUGUGUAGCAUAUUUGUAUUUUUUUACCCUGGUUCAAGUCGUAUGCAUCCGCCAACACAAUGAACCAUUUGAUAUUUUCAUGAUGGGAUAAUGCAUAUGCGCAAUUCGAUGUGGGCACAUGUCUGGCAUGUAUAUUUUUCUUUCUUUGCACAGUAUAACAUCUUUCUGAAUUUCAUAGCUUUUGGAUAAUUAAUUCAAAUGCAUUUCCACUCACACGCUUAUGAACAUGGCUACGUUUUGUAAUGUAACAUCAGAACACUUACAACAUUACUUUGUUGUAUAUUGAGGGUCUGGUCCUUGACAGUGGUUGGCAGCACCUUCACAUGAAGCACAUGCAGAGGAAUGUUACAUCCAGACAGCUAAUGUAUCACUGUAGUAUGAGAAAAGAUGUUUUCUUUUUUGCAUAAAUUACUUCUUCAACUUGCAAAUUCCCUUGACCUUGGAAGGAUUUGAUGAGCUGGCCAAAGUUAUACAACCUCAUAAUACAUGUUGUCCAUUAUGAAAAUGUCAUGCAUGCUCUGCUCGAUGUGUUCAGGAGCAUAACUAUCAUUUGAUCCAUGCGUGUGUUUGUUUGGAUCUGUUAUUUACCCUCUUUCGCAAAUAUGCUAAUCCUCAGAGUAGCUUUCGGGCGAUCAACUUGAUAUAAAUAUUUUGUCAGAUUCAUAUGCUUUCCUGAAAGCUGAACAUUCAAAGUGGUGAUGGUAAAUGGCAGCCAUGUCACCGGGGUUGGUUUUAAAGCAGACUAAUCUCGAUUGACUGUUGAUCAAUGUAUAUUUGUACAAAAUUUCUAUUUGUAUGUGGCCAAAAUAAAUAUUUGAGCACAUUUUAUUUAUUUGUAGACACUAUUUUCAUGCUUAUUUUUCUGUAACAAAUUCGCCAUGCCUGGAGUAGAUCAUUCAGUGGUGCAGUUCAAAUGGUAUAUCCUCCGUUUGUCAUAAGUUCUGAGGAUCUGAUCAUCAAGAGAGAUCAUGAUGGGUUUCAUACGUGAAGUCAAGCUGCGCUUUGUACUAGAAGAACGGUGAAAAGGUGAGAAAUAGUACAAACUGGGGACAGAGAAUCUAAUCCUUGUGCACGUCCUGGUGUUAUCAUCUUUCUGAACCAUAUCAAUAACCGUAUUUUCAAGAUACUAUCAGAUAAGCUUCUACGUUUCCCAAAUGAUUUUGUAAAGGUGAGAUUUUGAAAAUAUGUGUCUCCAUUAUGUUUAUUGUUACCGAACUCGGGAUAUGGCAUGCAACAGUGCCAUCAAGUUAUGUUCAAGGUGAGAGCUUGAUGUACGUAGCUUCUUCAUAUCCACUUUCAUGCUUCGGAAAUCAACAAUAGUGUACCCUUAUCAUCGAUGUUUAUCAGAAUUGGAUAUAAGAAAUGACAUGUAAU